rnacentral:rRNA from 1 species
CAGUAGCCGCGGUAAUACGAAGGGGGCUAGCGUUGUUCGGAAUUACUGGGCGUAAAGCGCACGCAGGCGGCUCGAUAAAUUAGAAGUGAAAGCCUUGGGCUUAACCUGAGAAUUGCUUUUAAGACUGUCGAGCUAGAAUCCAGAAGAGGGUAGUGGAAUUCCGAGUGUAGAGGUGAAAUUCGUAGAUAUUGGGAAGAACACCGGUGGCGAAGGCGGCGACCUGGUCCUUGACUGACGCUGAGGCGCGAAAGCGUGGGGAGCAAACAGGAUUAGAUACCCCCGUAGUCCCUGUCUCUUAUAA